rnacentral:rRNA from 1 species
GUGGGGAAUCUUGCGCAAUGGGCGAAAGCCUGACGCAGCCAUGCCGCGUGAAUGAUGAAGGUCUUAGGAUUGUAAAAUUCUUUCACCGGGGACGAUAAUGACGGUACCCGGAGAAGAAGCCCCGGCUAACUUCGUGCCAGCAGCCGCGGUAAUACGAAGGGGGCUAGCGUUGCUCGGAAUUACUGGGCGUAAAGGGCGCGUAGGCGGACAGUUUAGUCAGAGGUGAAAGCCCAGGGCUCAACCUUGGAAUUGCCUUUGAUACUGGCUGUCUUGAGUACGGGAGAGGUGAGUGGAACUCCGAGUGUAGAGGUGAAAUUCGUAGAUAUUCGGAAGAACACCAGUGCGAAGGCGACUCACUGGCCCGUUACUGACGCUGAGGCGCGAAAGUGUGGGGAGCAAACAGGAUUAGAUACCCCUGUAGUCC